rnacentral:rRNA from 1 species
UCGAGAAUCAUUCGCAAUGGGCGCAAGCCUGACGAUGCGACGCCGUGUGUGCGAUGAAGGCCUUCGGGUUGUAAAGCACUUUCGCUUGGGAACAAGAGAGGCUGGCUAAAAUCCAGCUAAUUUGAGGGUACCAGGUAAAGAAGCACCGGCUAACUCCGUGCCAGCAGCUGCGGUAAUACGGAGGGUGCAAGCAUUAAUCGGAUUUAUUGGGCGUAAAGGGCGCGUAGGCGGGUAGACAAGUCAGAUGUGAAAUACCGGAGCUCAACUUCGGAACUGCAUUUGAAACUGUCUGUCUAGAGGGUAGGCGGAGAAAAUAGAAUUCCACAAGUAGCGGUGAAAUGCGUAGAUAUGUGGAAGAAUACAGGUGGCGAAGGCGAUUUUCUAGCUUAUACCUGACGCUGAGGCGCGAAAGUAAGGGGAUCAAACAGGAUUAGAUACCCCCGUAGUCC